rnacentral:rRNA from 1 species
GACGAACCGUGCGACCGUUGUUCGGAUUCACUGGGCUUAAAGGGCGCGUAGGCGGGCGGUCAAGUCGGGGGUGAAAUCUUUCCGCUUAACGGGAAGCGUGCCUCCGAUACUGAUCGCCUCGAGGGAGGUAGGGGCAUGUGGAACUUCCGGUGGAGCGGUGAAAUGCGUAGAUAUCGGGAGGAACACCAGUGGCGAAGGCGGCUUUCUGGUCUGCUCUUGACGCUGAGGCGCGAAAGCUAGGGUAGCAAACGGG